GACGAACGCUGGCGGCGUGCUUAACACAUGCAAGUCGAGCGGUAAGGCCCCUUCGGGGGUCCACGAGCGGCGCACGGGUGAGUAACACGUGAGCAAUCUGCCCAUCACAUCGGGAUAACUCCGGGAAACCGAAGCUAAUACCGAAUACGACCACCUCCGGCAUCGGAUGGUGGUGGAAAGUUCCGGCGGUGAUGGAUGAGCUCGCGGCCUAUCAGCUUGUUGGUGGGGUAACGGCCCACCAAGGCUUCGACGGGUAGCCGGCCUGAGAGGGUGACCGGCCACACUGGGCCUGAGACACGGCCCAGACUCCUACGGGAGGCAGCAGUGGGGAAUAUUGGACAAUGGGCGAAAGCCUGAUCCAGCAACGCCGCGUGAGGGAUGACGGCCUUCGGGUUGUAAACCUCUUUCAGCAGGGACGAAGCGCAAGUGACUGUACCUGCAGAAGAAGCACCGGCCAACUACGU
rnacentral:rRNA from 1 species